UGUAAGACAUAUCCCAUUUAUUUUGAAUGCCCUCAAUUGUAUUUUUGCAUCUCUUUCAUUUUUUAUGAAUGCCCACCCCCUCCACCUUCAGAGACAUACUUCACAAGUAAAAUAGCUAAUACAGUUUCUCCAUAUAUACUUAUUCCAGAACCCAAUCAACAUGUAAUAUAUCUGUAUGGGCCCCAGUUGUCCUGUCAGAUGCGUCCUCUCCAGAGGAAAGUAAAGUGCCUUUUGAAUCAGAAACUCUGGAGGACUCCAUGGCUGCAUUUCAGCACACAGACCAGAUAUCUGAAGCCAGUGCAACUACUCUGAAUUAAUUGGUUUGGAAAUUGGAGCCUAAGAGAACCCAGACCAACAGGGGGUGAAGUGGAAUGGAGAGGCGAUAAAGGCAAAAACACAUCUCUCCCACAGUGACCCUUAUAUGGGGUUGAUGAACGAGGGCAUCAAUCUGUGCCAUCUAUUCUGAAUUAUACAGAAAAUGUGAGUGAAUUAAAAGAGAAGGUCAAAUGAAAAACCAUUUAAUCCUACUGGGCCAUAUCCUGUCCUUGUUGAGUGCCUGAACUCCUACUGACUCCUGGUACUUUAUAUGCAAAAAAAGGAUUUUUAGUCUUUACAUUUCUCAUGUCCUCUCUCUCUCUCUCUCUCUCUCUCUGUGUGUGUGUGUGUGUGUUGCUUUUUUAAGGGUUAAGUUUUCUGCAAUAAACUUGAGGAGAACGCAAGAAAAGGAUCAUUUCCAGCUUCCCUGAGAUUUAAGAGACAAAGUAUAAAUAGUAUCUCUCUCGUCAUAAUAACACACUAGUUCAACUGUUCUGAAACAUUCUAAAGAUAUCAGUAACAAUAUAAAGAUCUCACUAACAGUAGCCUUCCUUUAUGUUGAAGAAAAGAUAAAGAGAUGAAUCCUGGCAGCCUUUGCAACAAACUUACAAAUGUAAAAGGCGGAGAAAGCAAGGAUUUAGCAACAACUAACCCCAAGCCAGUUUUUAGAGAUACAAGUUCCAGACAUUAGUCAGGGACCUUGACAGUCUCCUGGCUUCUCCACGAGGCAUCCAUCCUAUCUCAGAGGCCCCAUCACGAUUGCACGGGAGUUAGACAUGCAUGAAAAGUUG
rnacentral:lncRNA from 1 species